UACGGGGGGGGCAAGCGUUGUUCGGAAUUACGGGGCGUAAAGGGCUUGUAGGCGGCCAACUAAGUCAGACGUGAAAUCCCUCGGCUUAACCGGGGAACUGCGUCUGAUACUGGAUGGCUUGAGUUCGGGAGAGGGAUGCGGAAUUCCAGGUGUAGCGGUGAAAUGCGUAGAUAUCUGGAGGAACACCGGUGGCGAAGGCGGCAUCCUGGACCGACACUGACGCUGAUGAGCGAAAGCCAGGGGAGCAAACGGG
rnacentral:rRNA from 1 species